AUACUUACCUGGCAAGAAAGAUGCCAUGAUCACAAAGGUGACUUUCCCAAGGUGAAGCUUACCCUUUGCACUUUGGAUGUGCUGACCUACAUAACCCCCUCUUCCUAAAAGA
rnacentral:snRNA from 1 species